AUUGAACGCUGGCGGAAUGCUUUACACAUGCAAGUCGAGCGGCAGCACGGGGGCAACCCUGGUGGCGAGCGGCGAACGGGUGAGUAAUACAUCGGAACAUGCCCAGUCGUGGGGGAUAACACUUCGAAAGAAGUGCUAAUACCGCAUACGUCCUGAGGGAGAAAGCGGGGGAUCUUCGGACCUCGCGCGAUUGGAGUGGCCGAUGUCAGAUUAGCUAGUUGGUGGGGUAAAGGCCUACCAAGGCAACGAUCUGUAGCUGGUCUGAGAGGAUGAUCAGCCACACUGGGACUGAGACACGGCCCAGACGCCUACGGGAGUCAGCAGUGGGGAAUUUUGGACAAUGGGGGCAACCCUGAUCCAGCCAUUCCGCGUGAGUGAAGAAGGCCUUCGGGUUGUAAAGCUCUUUCGGCAGGAACGAAACGGCGAGCUCUAACAUAGCUUGCUAAUGACGGUACCUGAAGAAGAAGCACCGGCUAACUACGUGCCAGCCGCCGCAGUAAUAC
rnacentral:rRNA from 1 species